AGUGAACGCUGGCGGUAGGCCUAACACAUGCAAGUCGAACGGCAGCACAGUAAGAGCUUGCUCUUACGGGUGGCGAGUGGCGGACGGGUGAGGAAUACAUCGUAAUCUACUUUUUCGUGGGGGAUAACGUAGGGAAACUUACGCUAAUACCGCAUACGACCUACCGUUGAAAGCAUUGGAUCUUCUGACCUUGCGCGAUUGAAUGAGCCGAUUUUGGAUUGGCUAGUUGGCGGGGUAAAGGCCCGCCAAGUGGACGAUCCGUAGCUGGUGUGAGAGGAUGAUCAGCCACACUGGAACUGAGACACGGUCCAGACUCCUACGGGAGGCAGCAGUGGGGAAUAUUGGACAAUGGGGGCAAGCCUGAUCCAGCCAUACCGCGUGGGUGAAGAAGGCCUUCGGGUUGUAAAGCCCUUUUGUUGGGAAAGAAAAGCAGCAGGUUAAUACCCCGCUGUUCUGACGGUACCCAAAGAAUAAGCACCGGCUAACUUCGUG
rnacentral:rRNA from 1 species